rnacentral:rRNA from 1 species
CCCGCUGAACUUAAGCAUAUCAAUAAGCGGAGGAAAAGAAACCAACAGGGAUUGCCCCAGUAACGGCGAGUGAAGCGGCAACAGCUCAAAUUUGAAAUCUGGCCCCUCGGGGUCCGAGUUGUAAUUUGUAGAGGAUGCUUUUGGUGAGGUGCCGCCCGAGUUCCCUGGAACGGGACGCCACAGAGGGUGAGAGCCCCGUCUGGCUGGCCACCGAGCCUCUGUAAAGCUCCUUCGACGAGUCGAGUUGUUUGGGAAUGCAGCUCAAAAUGGGUGGUAAAUUUCAUCUAAAGCUAAAUAUUGGCCAGAGACCGAUAGCGCACAAGUAGAGUGAUCGAAAGAUGAAAAGCACUUUGGAAAGAGAGUUAAACAGUACGUGAAAUUGUUGAAAGGGAAGCGCUUGCAACCAGACUUGCGCGCUGUUGAUCAUCCGAGCUUUUGCCCGGUGCACUCGGCAGCGCUCAGGCCAGCAUCGGUUUUGGUGGGCGGAUAAAGGCCUUGGGAAUGUAGCUCUCUUCGGGGAGUGUUAUAGCCCUUGGUGCAAUGCACCCUACCGGGACCGAGGACCGCGCUUCGGCUAGGAUGCUGGCGUAAUGGUUGUAAGCGACCCGUCUUGAAACACGG